CGGAGGAGAGGGAACACAACUGUAUGUUAGGAUGAAAAGCAGUGCGUGAUCCUGACGGGAACUCAUCCUCUGAUCCUGAGCUACUGAACCGCGAUUUUCCUUUGUCCCGACCUAACUGGAAUCCUAACACAACUGAGGGCUCCACCAGAUCGAUGGCUGUCUAACUCCUGAGUUAUGCACUAUCAAGCACUGCUCCUGGAUCCAACUACUAUCAGCUUCAAGGAAACAGCAGCCUUAAAUCCUGCUACCCUGCUGCCUGAUGAUGAUCCCUCCUUGCCUCUCCACAAUUGUAUUGAGGUCAUUGAUCACCUCACAGGACUUCGACCAGAUUUGACGGACGAGCCACUACCUGGAGUUCCAUCCUACUUCUCCGAUGGAAACAGUUACAUCUAUCAAGGUAAGUGGGUUGCAGGAGCUGCCGUCACUACGGACUCUCAGAUUCUAUGGGAACAAACCUCAGAGCCAGGAACAUCAGCUCAACAAGCUGAACUCAGCUCUUACUGAGGCCCUCAAGUUGUCAGAAGGAAAAGACAUAAACAUUUAUACUGACAGCAGAUAUGCAUUUGCUACUGCCCAUGUUCAUGGGGCCAUUUAUCGGGAAUGAGGUUUAUUGACUUCAGGGGGCCAAAAGAUUAAAAAUGCUUGCCAAAUUUUGGAUUUGCUGGCUGCCAUUUGGAUGCCAAGAAAGGUGGCUAUUAUUCACUGCAAAGCCCAUCAAGUGGGAGAUGAUCCUGUUACACGAGGGAACAAUCUAGCAGACACCACUGCCCAAAAAGUGGCCACAAAAUCAGUGGAGAUUGAGACAGCCCCAACAUUGCUGCUGAUUCCACCUACUCUGUCAAAGCCCUUUUACACUCAAAAAGACUUACAUUUGGCAGCUCAACUCCAAGCAAAACCUGAUAUCCCCGGGGGCUAGUACCAACUGCCUGAUAAUCGAGUCCUCCUCCCCGAGGCCGUGGGACAAGAACUCAUCCAACAAGCUCAUUAGUCCACUCAUAUGGGAGGAUCAAAACUAGCUGCUCUUUUUCGAGAUCAUUUCUUUAUCCCUCAGUUAUCAAAGCUUACUCAGUCUGUGAGCCUUAGAUGCCCUCAGUGCCAGUUGGUGAACCCAAAGGGAUCACAACAAAUGGAAACCACUCAUUAUCGUGGGACUAUGCCUGGGGAACAUUGGGAAGUAGACUUUACAGAAAUGGGGAAGCCUGGACUUCAAGGGUAUAAAUAUUUGCUAGUAAUGAUUGAUACUUUCACUGGAUGGGUUGAGGCCUUUCCCACUAAAUCUGAAUCAGCUCAGAUGGUAGUCAAAAAGCUUUUAUAUGAAGGUUGUCCCACAAUUUGGUCUCCCUUUAUCCAUGGGGUCCGACAAUGGCCCGGCUUUUAUAGCCCAGAUAACUCAAAAACUAACCCAAGCUUUGCAGAUUGAUUGGAAACUCCAUUGUGCUUACUGGCCUCAAAGUUCAGGACAAAUAGAAAGGAUGAACCAGACCCUAAAAACGAUAAUAACUAAGAUGACAUUAGAAACUGGCGAAAACUGGGUGAGUCUCCUUCCUUUUUUGCCCUCUUGCGCACGCGAUGUACCCCCUAUGUUGCAGGUAUUUCCCCUUUUGAAGCUCUAUAUGGGAGACCUCCUCCUCUUAUUCCUAAGAUUUCUGAGGAAAAAUUAGCUGAUCUGGCUAAUCAAGAUCUCAUUAAGUCCCUCCAGGCCCUCCAGCCAGUACUAACUUCUAUCCAUCGAUUAUUCCGGCAACAACAUCCUCCACCUACAGUCCACUCUGAAAAACGCCCUACAGUGGAACCUGGGACACUAGUCCUCAUCAAGAGACAUCACCAUGAAUCCCUUGAACCAUGGUGGGAGGGCCCCUAUGCCAUGGUUCUCAGCACUCCGACUGCCAUCAAAGUCGCAGGAAAGCCUGCCUAGAUUCAUCAAUCCCACUUCAAGCCAGUUCCAGCCUCUGACAGUGAUCAACCUACAGAUAAGUGGACUGUUGUUCCCUCCAAGGAUCCUUUAAAACUUAAAAUUGCCAAAUGUAUCCAAUAAUCUUGUUCUUAUAUAUUUUUCCUUAUGGCGGCCCCAGUGAGAUACCUCAUAACCCACUGUUUGGAACUUGAAAAAUUACUAACUAUUUCACCGGUAAAUUAUUGGUAGCCAAUGCUACUGUCCAUGGGAUAAUUAAGGUAGAUUUAUGUGUCCUAUUAGAUAACAUCCCAGCAAAAAUUAGACAAAAGAGAAUGUUAUUGGGUCAGCAUUCCAUACUGCAUGAUUGGUUGCUAAUAAAACCAUCUGGACCUUGUAGGGACUUACGUAGUCAAAAGGAAUUACAGUUUACUGACUGUUAUCUUUGCCCCAAAAAACAGCCAGCCUCUGAUCACACUGAUCACACUAGUAGGUGUUCACAGUCCAUAGAGACAAAAUAUUUUUAUAAACAUUGGGGUUGUGAGUCUAUAUCUCCUUGGCAGGAAAAUAAAGGGGAUCAUUACCUUUUCCUUACUCGGGAGACCCCAUCUUCCUGCACCCUCAACCAAUGUAAUCUUAUGACUUUCAGACCUAAAUCCCAACUGACCCUGUUUGGAAAGCAGGAUUGCAUUAUGGUAUCGGGUUGUGGGUUUCUGGAUAUGACCCAGGAAGUGCCUUUACCAUUCAGUUCAUUCCUGGGCCUGUUUGGACAGCUCCCAUCAGGUCCAUAGGCCCUCAAGCUCCCCAGCCACCUCAAUCUCCUCCUUUUACUCAUCUUCUGCCCUCCUCCACUAGACUUCCUGCUCCUAAGACCUUUUUGCCCUCUGCCAUUUCUGCAGCAUCCCUAGACCCUUUCUUGCCUCUGGACAUUGCUUACCAGUUUCUUAAACCGAGUGCCCCAAACUUCACUGCUGACUGCUAGCUAUGCCUUCCAUCUUGACCUCCCUUCUAUAUGGGCACCCCUGUAACUAUUAUGACAAAUCAACUUUUAAAUUCCUCUGCAGAUGACACCUCUUGUUGGUGGGGUACUAGGCCCCUGCUCACACUGGACAGUAUACAGAGUACUCCAGGAACCUCUGCCUCCUACUCCUUGCACACUUCCCCUUAUGCUGCACUCUGUAAUCUAAUCUCUUCAGUUGUGAUUCAUAAUUUUUCCUAUCCUGCUAAUCAACACCUUGUUGCUCCCAACAGAACCUGGUUUGCCUGUACUUCUGGCAUAACUCCAUGUUCUAUACAUCACCUGUUCACCCAGCACCCUGAGCUUUGCAUAUUGGUUCAUAUUUUUCCCCAAGUGUAUUGGUACUCUAGAGAUAAUGAUAAGAGUCAUUUGCUCCCUAACUUUGACUUAAAGAGUACAGUCCAAAUAAAGAGAAAUCGUAUACUCUUACCCGUAUUAUUGGGAGUUGGGUUGGCAGGGUCAGUAGGUUUAGAAGUGUCCAGCUUAAUAACUGAAAAACAAAAUUAUAGACACUUAAAUACACUCAUUAACCAGGAUCUAGCAGCCCUCAGUGACUCUGUCUCCAAAUUAGAUGAUUCUUUAAGUUCACAGCUGAGAUGGUUUUACAAAACCGGCGGGGUCUAGAUCUCCUGUUCCUAAAGAAAGGAGGCCUUUGUCUGGCAUUAGGAGAAAAUUGUUGUUUGUAUGCCAGUCAUUCUGGGGUUAUCAGACAAAGUAUGGCCAGCCUUAAAAGGCAGUUACAGGAUCAAGAACAAGCCAGACAAGCUAAAUAGAACUGGUUUGAGCGAUGGUUUUCUCUAUCUCCCUGGUUGACAACAAUAAUCACAGCAGCCUCUGGACCUCUGUUAAUCUUACUUACUUGUUUGACAAUUGGACCUUACAUUAUAAACAGAUUAAUAAAUUAUGUCAAAGAACGGGUUCGAACAAUAAAACUCAUGGUUCUAAGGACACAAGUUUAUGAACAAAUACCACUGCUUGAAAAUUCCAUGAGCCAAUGGAUCACUGACAAAAAUCAGUGGGGAAUGUUAUACUAAGAUGCUGAAAAAUUAAAAUAGCUGAUUAAAAGAUAAUUAACAAAAAUAGUUACUUAAAAAGAUAGUUAUUAGUAAUAUUGUCAUUCUGUACUGAGCUCGUUACCCUAGUAACCAAGCACCAACUUCAUAGUUAUAAAUUAACUGACCACAUCAUUCUGCUGUUCUGUAAUGCGUCAUCCCCCCUACCUUAGUGACCUGUGUGCAAUGUCAACUUUUGUUCCCCUUGUAAGAGACAAAUGAUGCUGUGUCAACCAUUGUUCCCUUUAUGAGAGACAAAUGUUCCUGGAAUUGGCAGACCAAGGGCUAUGAAUUGGCUAACCACCCACUGUGAAAUGCCUCUUACUUCAAGCAAAGGGGAAUAAAAGGCCCACCUUAUUUCUGUUUCUUAUCCCUAUAUACUUAAUGAUCAAUGAGCUAAUCAUAAAUAAACUAUAAAAAUCAGUCAAAACUCUAACUCAGUUGCACAGCUUUGCAAAUUCCAUCUGCACUGUGUCACUGGGCCAGCUAAAAUAAAAGCGCUUCUUUUAAAAAA